CGGGAGCGGCUUAGCCAGACCGUCGGCCUCCGUCAGACACUGCCCUGGCUGCCACCAUCUGAAAGCUUGACUGUGGCUGGGAGGUCCACUUCCGAGCUGACGCACUCUCGGGGCUCCUUGGCAAGAGACCUCGGCUUCUCCCUCAGUUCUUCCCCACGGGGCUGCUUGAGUGUCCUCACCACAGGGCUGCUGGUGUCCCCAGAGACACUGACCCGAGUCCCUCAGGCCUGUCCUGAUCUCGUCUCAGACUCAUGCACUGCCACUGUGGCCACUUUUCCUUCAUUAGAAUGAGCCACUGAGCCCAGCCCACACUAAGAGGCACGGAGGUGAAGCUUUCCUUGUGGAAUGAAACACAGUCUUCAAGUGUUUGGCCAUUGUGCAAGCCUUGGGAGCUGUGCUUGGAGAGGUCAAAGCUGUUCUGGGAGCCCAUGUCUGAAGCUCCAUCAACAGGUGGAGCUACAAGGAGGCCGGCCCUUCACUUACACAGAGAUCAGCAUCGGCUGCCUGUAAAAUCCUGGCUUAGGAAAAUUGGACUCCAUUUUCCACCUGCUGGUACUCAAAGCAGACGGAGCCAAAUGUGAGCUUGGGCCAUGGGAAGGAAACGGGAGUCAACCCGCCCCCGGAAACCUGAAGCACUGCGUCAGAACCGAACGCCCGGAGCCGCCCGCCCCUGAGUCCAGGCUGAUUCCUCAGGCCGCCGCCGUCCGGGUCGGUUUUGAGACGUGGGCGGUGGACCGCUUCUCAGACCCGCCACCCGCCUCCUGCAGGGAUCUUCCUCCUCCCGGGCUAAGGCUCAGGCUGGCUCCUGCCAGCACAGCGCGCGCGCACACGGGGGAAAGCUUUGAAAAAAUGACGGCGUAGACGAGCUCACCGGCGGCGGGGCUGCGGAGCGGUUGGAGUUGACUCCCUGCAGCAGGGAAUCCCUCGGUCCCACGCCCGCUCCCCGCCCGCAAGCUGCGGCACUGAAGGCCAGGGACGAGGGCAGCGAGCGCGCCGCCCGAGGGCAGUGAAGACUCAUUUGGGAAUUAAUGAUUAAGUAAGACUUGCACAAAGUAAUGAAGGAGCA
rnacentral:lncRNA from 1 species